GAUGAAGAACGCAGCGAAAUGCGAUACGUAAUGUGAAUUGCAGAAUUCAGUGAAUCAUCGAAUCUUUGAACGCACAUUGCGCCCGCCAGCACUCUGGCGAGCAUGCCUGUUCGAGCGUCAUUUCAACCAUCAAGCCCCAGGCUUGUGUUGGAGCCCUGCGGCUGCCGCAGCCUCCCAAAACCAGUGGCGGGCUCGCUAUCACACCGAGUGCAGUAGUUUACUCUUCGCUCAGGGCGUGUGGCGGGUGCUAGCCGUGAAACCCCCAACUUCUCAAGGUUGACCUCGGAUCAGGUAGGAAUACCCGCUGAACUUAAGCAUAUCAAUAAGCGGAGGA
rnacentral:misc_RNA from 1 species